UGCAAAUGAUGUUUUUCUCACGAUGGUCUUCCAAGCUCGAUGAGCGUUGACGAAUUUGCCUUUGGCAUUCACUGAUGCAGCUUA
ensembl:snoRNA small nucleolar RNA SNORD35